rnacentral:rRNA from 1 species
GGAUUGCCUCAGUAACGGCGAGUGAAGCGGCAAAAGCUCAGAUUUGAAAUCUGGCGUCUUAUGGCGUCCGAGUUGUAAUCUGUAGAGGAGUGUUCGAGCAUAGCUUUGGCUUAAGUUCCUUGGAACAGGACGUCAUGGAGGGUGAGAAUCCCGUGUACGGCCUUUGACUUGUGCUUAUGUGAACCUCCUUCAACGAGUCGAGUUGUUUGGGAAUGCAGCUCUAAAUGGGUGGUAAAUUUCAUCUAAAGCUAAAUACUGGCAGGAGACCGAUAGCGCACAAGUAGAGUGAUCGAAAGAUGAAAAGAACUUUGGAAAGAGAGUUAAAUAGUACGUGAAAUUGUUGAAAGGGAAGCACUUGCUCCCAGACUUGCCUGCAGCUGAUCANUCACCAUUUUUGGUGGUGCACUUGGUUGUAGGCAGGCCAGCAUCAGUCCAGACGACGAGAAAAAGGUGCAGGGAAUGUGGCUCUUUUCGGAGAGUGUUAUAGCCCUGUACGUAAUGUCGCCUGCCUGGACUGAGGCCCGCGCUUCGGCGAGGAUGCUGGCGUAAUGGUCGUAAGUGACCCGUCUUGAAACACGGACCAAGGAGUCUAACAGCUGUGCGAGUGUUUGGGUGGAAAACCCUCACGCGCAAUGAAAGUGAAUGGAGGUGGGAACCGCAAGGUGCACCAUCGACCGAUCCUGAUGUCUUCGGAUGGAUUUGAGUAGGAGCAUAGCUGUUGGGACCCGAAAGAUGGUGAACUAUGCCUGAAUAGGGUGAAGCCAGAGGAAACUCUGGUGGAGGCUCGCAGCGGUUCUGACGUGCAAAUCGAUCGUCAAAUUUGGGUAUAGGGGCGAAAGACUAA